UACGUAGGGCGCAAGCGUUGUCCGGAAUUACUGGGCGUAAAGAGCUCGUAGGCGGUUUGUCGCGUCGUCCGUGAAAACUUGGGGCUCAACCCCAAGCUUGCGGGCGAUACGGGCAGACUUGAGUACUGCAGGGAGGACUGGAAUUCCUGGUGUAGCGGUGAAAUGCGCAGAUAUCAGGAGGAACACCGGUGGCGAAGGCGGGUCUCUGGGCAGUAACUGACGCUGAGGAGCGAAAGCGUGGGAGCGAACAGG
rnacentral:rRNA from 1 species